rnacentral:rRNA from 1 species
CACGUAGGGCGCAAGCGUUGUCCGGAAUUAUUGGGCGUAAAGAGCUCGUAGGCGGUCUGUUGCGUCCGCUGUGAAAACCCGGGGCUUAACCCCUGGCUUGCAGUCGAUACGGGCAGGCUAGAAUUCGGUAGGGGAGACUGGAAUUCCUGGUGUAGCGGUGAAAUGCGCAGAUAUCAGGAGGAACACCGGUGGCGAAGGCGGCAUCCUGGACCAACACUGACGCUGAGGAGCGAAAGCCAGGGAAGCAAACGGG